UCGUAGAGCAGGUUACGCGUAUGUUUGGCUGAUAAUUUAGUAUUCAGUCAAAAAGGGUCUAUUGUAGUUUUGUUUAGAAAUAUUUGGUAAAGAUAUUGGUGUUUUCUCAAACUUGCUUAUUUAUAUUUGAUUUAAGAAAACAUAGUGUGUUCUUUUCAGACUUCAAAGACCUGCGGACAGACACCAUGUGGAGGUAUAACAACUAGUGUUUAUGAACAGUCGUCUGUUUGAUCAUAAGCUGUGUUGCGCUGUAAUACAUAAGACCUUAUUGAAGGUUAGGACAUAAAACGUAUGUUUUAAAUCCUAAUCUAUACAAAGUAGUCGCUUACAUGUGUAUGGUGGAAAACGAGAGCUAUCGAGUUACACCAUAAGAGAGUGGUCUCAUUCAGAAAGGAGAUACAUAUGCUGAACACAUAUACUGCAAUAAUUGAGAAACAAUUUGUUGAAACGGGAAACGAAUAUAAAAAAAUCAUCGGCUACGUGUAUUUUAAAUACAUAAGAUACAGAACAUCAAAUCAUUACCUAUUUAUUUGCUGAUUCAGCCUUCGUAGAUGAGCUGUUUAUAUUUGAAAUAUGUACAAUUGUAAAUACCAACCUACUGUUGCCGUAAAUACCUAUGCCAAGUUCUGCUGUGAUGAGAACAUGGCGAGAAUAGAGUCCGGUCAUUGCUGCUGCACUUAUGACGGGACAAGCUCCUCUGCGGAAUGUCAAAGCAGCUCAGGCGUCUUCCCAUGGUGGGGCGUAUUCCUUAUUGUACUUUUCAUCAUUGCUGUAUUAGUUGCCGUCGGAAUUGUGGUUUACAGGAAGAAACUUUACUCUAGAAUUUUGUAGAAUGACACAAAUGGUAUUGGCGUUUUGAAACAUAUCCCAAAACUUGCAGACAUAUUUAUUUGUGUUCUUUGUCGUUAGUUCGAAUGGUCAACGUUGUGAAUGAAGUACAUAACACAUAAGGUCAGUUAUGCAUGUUAUUUCUACGGUCAUAUACUACACAGGUGAAGUAUAGAUUGUUGUUUAUACAAGAUCUACUUGUUUCUACAUAAUAUACUCUUGCUUACGUUUUAACUGACCUUUCAUUGUUGACUUGCUUAGGAUGUUGUUUUUUUCAAACACAGUUGGGUGCUCAAUGUGUUGAUUGUUUAUGUAAUGUUUUCCAUGUUUCAGUUUUCGCCAUAUUUUCCCUUCAUUUAAUCAUGUUUAUUGUUACUAGCUCUCUAUUUAUUUCAUUGAGUGGUCAGUGUUUCAUACCAAAUAUAUCCUAUUGGGACCGUUUGAGAAAGUGUAUGGUGCAAUUAUAACAAUCGCAUAAGCACAACUAUACUUUACUUUUUUUGUGAGAACAUACCAGAAAUUAACCGAUACUUUUUGACUGCAACAUGCGGCAUUAACCGUGUACCAUGUCUUUUGAUUGUUAUUACAUAGAGGAUAUUUGUUGGCUUCGGUGGAUAAUCAAUUUUAAUUCACGAGUGAUCAUAUAAAAUAAUAUUUUCACGAGUGGCGCAGCCACGAGUUAAAAUAUAUAUUUCUAUGACCACGAGUGAAUUAAAAUCGAUAUUCCACCGAAUCCAACAAAUUUUCUUUUUAUUUUAUACUUUUUUUAUAUACAUUUGUAAAGAGUUUAACUAAAGAAUUUCGCUGGGAUAAUGACGUCAUUUUGUAAAAAAGACGUCAUUUCACUGUAAACAUUGAAAAUUAUCGAUAAUUUUCACUUGAAAAUUUUCAUUGUUUGAAACAGUGAAAAUAUCAGUUUUAAUUCACUGAUAUUUCUCUAUAAACCACCGAAAAGCAUAAAAUAAAAACUAGUAACGCCUUAAGUAAAUUUCAUAUGUGUACAAAUGCUAUGCAACUUGCCUUUAAUGAUAAUCUUCGUUUUGAUGUGGUUUUAUUCACUAAUAGUUUGUCAAUAAUAAAAGGACCUGUUCACAAGA